rnacentral:lncRNA from 1 species
AACAGAACAGAGCAGAGGAAACCCCCAAACCCCAGCGGCGGCCAUGUCUCCCCUCCUCCUCCUGCUCGUGGCCGUGGCCGCCGCGCCGACGCUCGCCUCCGCGGCGUCGCCUCUGCACGGCGUGGCGAACGACGUGCUGUCGGAGUACGGCCUCCCCAAGGGCCUGAUCCCGGACUCCGUCACCUCCUACACCUUCGACAACGCCACGGGCGACUUCCAGAUCCAGCUCGCGGGCACCUGCUACGUCUGGUUCGGCGACCACUACGUCUACUACGAGCAGACCAUCAGCGGCACCAUCUCCUACGGCGCCAUCUCCAACCUCUCCGGGAUCCAGGCCAAGAAGUUCUUCAUCUGGGUCUACGUCUCCGGCAUGGUCGCGCACCCGGAGAAAGGCACCAUCGAGUUCCGGGCUGGCCCCAUCUCCGAGGACGUGCCCAUGUCGCUCUUCGCGGCCGUGCCCGUCUGCGGCAACGGCAUCGGCGCCGGCUCGCAGCUCCGCGGCGCGGCCGGGGUGAUCCGGGACCUUGGCCUGCUUCCCGUUGCCGAGGUGUGAGUGACUUCAAAUAUGAACUGUUUUCAAGUCUGUUGCUGAAAAUUGGUAAAGAAAUUUGCACGUUUCCUAUUGAGAAUGAGAGGGGACAAAGGGAGAAACACGGUGCCGUGAUGAUGUAUUAAUGUGGAUGAAGUUCAAUAAAUAUAAUACAGUAAGAGUUUUGAAUAGAUGGAAACAUAUCUUUCCUUACGACAACAAUUUGAUCACAAAUUACUACAGUAUGUUCAAAAUGUGGCAUAUAUGACAUGAAAGUAUAAGUAUCAUGAAGUAUUUUUGAUAGUGAAUCUAGCGAUACUAAUUUCGUGUCACAUAAUACUUUGUGAUCAAAAUCUUGUUUUAAUGAAAACUAAUAUGACAACUUUUUUUAAGAAUUGAAAGGGAGUACUCAGGAACAAGAUUACAUUUAUCUAAGACAAGUUUUGUGACACAAACGCACAAUCCAGUGAACGGCGCAGUGAAACACACGGCGCACCUUGCGGUCAUGGCAUAAUUAGCUAAUACACGUGCAAAAACCAAUCGUGAUGAUUCUCUGAUACCAAUUCUUAACUUCAGCCAAUAAGUGAGCAAGCACCGAUCAAUCUUCGGUGGUGCCUUGAAUGCGGCCUUUAGUGGGUCCAUGGUCCCAGUCUGGCUCCGGUGAGUCGGCCAUGAAUCGGUGAAGUAAGGUGUCACAUUAUUGAUGGUGAUAGGUUAGUGAAUUUUACAGCCCAUUUGGCAUCCAUCAUCAUUUGUAUCUAGAAUUCUGAAAUUCAUUUUCUAUUCCAGAAACCAACUUGUUUGUGGCAUGGAAUUGGCCAUAAAAAUUCAAUCUCAAUUUUUAUGGAAUCACAUUAUAACUAACCACGAUUUCUCUCUAAAAGUUAUCAUUUCUCUAGAUUAUCUCUCAUUCUACAAAUCCAUGUGGUAGACAAACAUGAUUUUUUAACCCGGAAUUCAAAUUCAACCAAAUAAAAUCCUAUCAAAAAAUGGAUUUCAUUUCAUUUCUACCAAAUGAAAUGAAAGAACGGAUGCCAAACGAGCUGUUAGGAGUUUUGAUGUUGCAAUGUUCCUUCGACAUCUCUGUAAAUGUAUCAACGAGAUCUUAGUAAACAACCACAGAAGAUCUUCUUAAGAAGACACACAGUGCACCUCUUUAAUUCAAAAGAUUUUCAAAUGAUGCUAAAAGAUUUUGGACAUGACAACUUGACUCGUAGGAUUGAAAAUCAUGGAAAAAUUCUCCGAGGCAAAUUCCACUGGAUUUUAUAAGGAAUUUUCCAACCAUGCCAACACGUUUGAUUUUUUUUCUAUACUAGCUAAAUACACAUGAGUACCCCACGAAAUUAUUAUUAUUUUGCAUAAUUGUAUAAAUGCACUUUUGUUCAUAUGUUUUGAAAUUUUGUACUCAGUAACAACUAUCUCAGAAUAUACAUCAAUUGAGUCAAUUGUAGUAAAAAGAUCGUGUGUAUAUCUAGCAUAUUGAAUGUGUAUAAUUAUAUUCAUUCUCUAACAAUAUAGAAAACAUUUUUAAUGGAGUGAACAGACGACCACCAACUGAAAUCUUUGUAGGAAGAAAAAGAUAUUUCUUCUUGCAUCAUUUUAGUUCUAAUAAGUAUGUUCAAUAUGAUGACAUUAUGAUCUAAUUGUUGAAAACCAAAGCUGUACCAAAAGCACAAGGACAAAAUUAAGAUUUGAGGGAACAAGGAAAAAUUCCUCACAACAAAAACACAUAAAUCUUUGAGUUUUACUGCUUUGUAGAUUUCCGCUGGACGGAUUUGAUAAUUUGCCCUGUCUCACUUUCAGUUACACGUGUCUCCAUACCCCACAUGCAAGUGACACAAGACAAGUCAAAUCAUCAAAGUGCAAAGUGAGUAGAACAAAUUAUCAAAUUUGUCAACUAUACAAAUGUGCAACUAUAAAUCAAUUUGACAGGCGUCGGGACUUGCAAUAGGGGCUCAAAGAUCAAUUUGUCCUUAUACUCCCUCCGUUCCAAAACACAACUCAUAUAGAUUUGUGUACUUGGACCAAGGCAGCUCUCGUUUCUAGUGUCUGACCACUCAUAUUGGAUUAAUAGUAAAUGGAUGUGACUAGUUAUUGGUCGGGUGCGGGUUUCAAGAAAAAAAUGAGGUGUGUUUUGGAACAAAUGAGAAAAAUCUAUAUGAUUUGUGUUUUGAAAUGGAGGGAGUAUUUCUAAUGUCUUGCAUUAGUGUUUGUCUUGUAUUUUUUUUAUGAGAAAAACUAACUAGGGCAGCUUAAUUAUGUGCAGUUUGAUUUUCUCCUAAAAAUAAGAAGCUGCUGGCUGCUGCCCCUAGUUAGUUUUAAAACAAGAUGUUGUCCCUAAUUAAUUCUGUUACCAGUGUCCCCAAUCAAGAUCCCCACGCAAAGCAGAGCGAAAAUCCCAAACCCCAACGACCAUGUCACCCCUGACCCUCCUCCUCGUCGCCGUUGCCGUGGCCGCGGCGCCGCUCGCCUCCGCGGCCGGUGGCGCCUCGGCAAACGGCGCAGCUAACGACCUCCUCCCGAAGUACGGCCUCCCGAAGGGCCUCAUCCCGGACUCCGUCGCCUCCUACUCCUUCGACGAGACCACCGGCGACUUCGAGAUCCGCCUCGCCGGCACCUGCUACGUCUGGUUCGGCGACCACCUCGUGUACUACGAGAAGACCAUCCGUGGCUGCCUAUCAUCAGGGAAAAUCACCAGUCUCUCAGGCAUCCAGGCCAAGAAGCUCUUCCUCUGGGUCUCC